UACGAAGGGGGCUAGCGUUGCUCGGAAUCACUGGGCGUAAAGGGUGCGUAGGCGGGUCUUUAAGUCAGGGGUGAAAUCCUGGAGCUCAACUCCAGAACUGCCAUUGAUACUGAAGAUCUUGAGUUCGGGAGAGGUGAGUGGAACUGCGAGUGUAGAGGUGAAAUUCGUAGAUAUUCGCAAGAACACCAGUGGCGAAGGCGGCUCACUGGCCCGAUACUGACGCUGAGGCACGAAAGCGUGGGGAGCAAACAGG
rnacentral:rRNA from 1 species